rnacentral:rRNA from 1 species
UCAAGAAACUUCCACAAUGGGCGAAAGCCUGAUGGAGCGACGUCGCGUGAUGGACGAAGUGCUUCGGCACGUAAACAUCUUUUAUGUGGGAUGAAAUUAUUGACAGUACCACAUGAAUAAGGGGCUCCUAACUCUGUGCCAGCAGGAGCGGUAAUACAGAGGCCCCAAGCGUUAUCCGGAAUCACUGGGCGUAAAGGGUGUCGAGGCGGUUGUAUUAGUCGUUCGUAAAAUCUACGAGCUUAACUUGUAGGCGGCGAACGAAACGGUACGACUUGAGGUUUGGAGAGGUGCGUGGAACUCACGGUGUAGGGGUGAAAUCCGUUGAUAUCGUGGGGAACACCAAAGGCGAAGGCAGCGCACUGGCCAAAAUCUGACGCUCACACACGAAAGCUAGGGUAGCGAAGAGGAUUAGAUACCCACGUAG